rnacentral:rRNA from 1 species
AUUGAACGCUGGCGGCAGGCCUAACACAUGCAAGUCGAACGGUAACAGGGAUCAGCUUGCUGAUUCGCUGACGAGUGGCGGACGGGUGGGUAAUGUCUGGGAAACUGCCUGAUGGAGGGGGAUAACUACUGGAAACGGUAGCUAAUACCGCAUAACGUCGCAAGACCAAAGAGGGGGACCUUCGGGCCUCUUGCCAUCGGAUGUGCCCAGAUGGGAUUAGCUAGCAGGUGGGGUAACGGCUCACCUAGGCGACGAUCCCUAGCUGGUCUGAGAGGAUGACCAGCCACACUGGAACUGAGACACGGUCCAGACUCCUACGGGAGGCAGCAGUGGGGAAUAUUGCACAAUGGGCGCAAGCCUGAUGCAGCCAUGCCGCGUGUAUGAAGAAGGCCUUCGGGUUGUAAAGUACUUUCAGCGGGGAGGAAGGGAGUAAAGUUAAUACCUUUGCUCAUUGACGUUACCCGCAGAAGAAGCACCGGCUAACUCCGUG